CACUUUGCUUCAGAUGACACAAUGUUUGAGGUGCAUGCAGAGCCAUUAAGAACAGCCUGUCACUGAAACCACGACCCUAAGCGGCUCCAUUCUUCAUCCGUACGACUCACACAAGCUGCUGCACUGGCCAGGUCUGCCCGGAAGUUGCAAUAGUGUUGUUAAUAACAAUGACAGGACUCAGUUGCGCCACCUCACCAAUGAGGCAA
rnacentral:lncRNA from 1 species